rnacentral:lncRNA from 1 species
CUUCUGGACUGGGUGCCCCGUGUCCUGUCUGCGCGGUGCGGGUGGAGAUGCUGCGAGGGUGAAGUGGAAUCAUGGCUGGUACACAUUCUGCAAACUGAAGGUUUCCAAGGGAGACGAAUGAAGGGUGAGGACCCCAGAUGGGUCAGAGGAGGCGCUCUGGGCAGGACACGCUGGGAAUCUGCCUGGAGACGGAAUUAUUAUGCAUUAACUGAGGACCAACCCCAUGACAGCUUGCCCUCUUCUGCCCGUGGAAAGAUGUCAGGACUCACACAGGGACACGUCCUGUCUUGCGUCUGCCACUGCUCCCUGGGUCACCCGGGUCCUCUGACAAGGCCCCUGUGUGUGACUGGAUCAGAACCACAUCCGGAACCACGUCCGCCAGCUCCCCUGCUGUGUGUCUCGGUGGGGGGAGGUAGCAUGUGCGGCCCGUGCCUGGGCCCACACAAGGUCAGUACCCACGUGGGCCCCGGGCUGCCACAGUGGACAGAGCAGGUUCAGCCUGUGUGA